rnacentral:rRNA from 1 species
GGUCAGCAUACUGCCGUGAAUACGUUCCCGGGCCUUGUACACACCGCCCGUCACACCAUGAGAGUUGGGAAUACCCGAAGCCUGUGAGCUAACGUAAGAGGCAGCAGUCGAAGGUAGAAUCAAUGAUUGGGGUGAAGUCGUAACAAGGUAUC